CACUCUACACCCGGCACCUGAAAACACUCGUGGGCGGCCUGGUGCUCGUGACCCUCGUCAUGCUGGUGAUGUACACCACGCCCACGCCCACGGCACUCAUUCUCUCGGCGGCCAACAGCUUAAGGGAGACAGGCAAGCUCCCCGAGUCCUCCGCGUCCUCAGGAAAGGCAGGAGGAAACGACGCCGCAGCCUCGCUCUCCCUUCGCAGGAGAAAGAGAGAGAGGGAGAAGGAGAGAGAGAGGAGGCGAAGGAGGAACAGGUGGAAGGGGGAAUCCCGAAAAGGUCUUUGGUCUGGAAUCGCCAGACAGAGGAUCUUUGAG